rnacentral:rRNA from 1 species
AUUGAACGCUGGCGGCAUGCCUUACACAUGCAAGUCGAACGGCGGCACGGGUGCUUGCACCUGGUGGCGAGUGGCGAACGGGUGAGUAAUACAUCGGAACAUGUCCUGUAGUGGGGGAUAGCCCGGCGAAAGCCGGAUUAAUACCGCAUACGAUCUACGGAUGAAAGCGGGGGACCUUCGGGCCUCGCGCUAUAGGGUUGGCCGAUGGCUGAUUAGCUAGUUGGUGGGGUAAAGGCCUACCAAGGCGACGAUCAGUAGCUGGUCUGAGAGGACGACCAGCCACACGGGGACUGAGACACGGCCCAGACUCCUACGGGAGGCAGCAGUGGGGAAUUUUGGACAAUGGGCGAAAGCCUGAUCCAGCAAUGCCGCGUGUGUGAAGAAGGCCUUCGGGUUGUAAAGCACUUUUGUCCGGAAAGAAAUCCUUGGCCCUAAUACGGUCGGGGGAUGACGGUACCGGAAGAAUAAGCACCGGCUAACUACGUG